rnacentral:misc_RNA from 1 species
GAUGAAGAACGUAGCGAAAUGCGAUAAGUAAUGUGAAUUGCAGAAUUCAGUGAAUCAUCGAAUCUUUGAAUGCACAUUGCGCCCCCUGGUAUUCCGGGGGGCAUGCCUGUCCGAGCGUCAUUACAACCCUCAAGCUCAGCUUGGUGUUGGGCCCCGCCGCCCCGGCGGGCCCUAAAGUCAGUGGCGGUGCCGUCCGGCUCCGAGCGUAGUAAUUCUUCUCGCUCUGGAGGUCCGGUCGUGUGCUCGCCAGCAACCCCCAAUUUUUUUCAGGUUGACCUCGGAUCAGGUAGGGAUACCCGCUGAACUUAAGCAUAUCAAUAAGCGGAGGA